AAGAGAUAACGCAAAAUUACGAGACUAAGGAGAUUUAACAGGCUUGUUAUGCUGCAUUUGACCAGAUCGAGAUAUUGAAAAGGUUAAACAUUUGUCUAUCUUAUCUAUAUAUAUAUCUUAUUAAAGCUAAAGUACAUUUAAGAGUGUUUGGGUAUAUGAAUAGUAGAAUUAAUAAAAGCUGUUUUGUUUGGAUGCAUAGAUAGAGUUAAUACUU
rnacentral:lncRNA from 1 species